rnacentral:lncRNA from 1 species
UGGCAAACAAUUUGUUACUCAAGGGCGGAAAUUUGAAUCCUAGUUGUAACGACCUGACCCGCUAGUAGCAAUAACUCGUUGGGCCCAAACCACUGGUCCAAAAUGCUUAAACCUAGGAUUUCUUUUACUAGCGUGUAGGCCUCAUUUAUUAUAAUCAGGGCGUUACAAACUCUUCCUAUUUAGACCCUUACGUUCUCGUCGGGUCCAAAGAAGAUUACAGAUACAGACUAGAAUUACCAAGCGAUAUGAGAUUCUAGAGGUAGCUCCUACGAGUUCAAGAGGUGGCUCCCACCAAAUCCGUUGGUAUAGCAUUUUGUUCCGUAUAACACUUAACUCUCACAUGUCUGGCUAGUUUUUGGCUCUGAUAUCAAUUGUAACGACCUGACCCGCUAGCAAUAAUAACUCAUUGGAUUCAAACCACCGGCCCAAAAUUUUCAAGCCCAAUUUUUUUUUACUAGCGUGUAGGCCUCAUAUAUUCUAAUCAGAAUUAUUUUUCCUUACGAUGUGAAACUAUUGGGGCGUUACACUAGUUGCUUUACAUUUCCAGAUAAGUUUAUUUUUGAAAACAUGAACAAAGUAAAUAGUAUGCUAUAUACCAUUCUCUUUCUCUCUCAAAAAAAAAGUAUGUGUACACCCAAAAUAUAGAUAUAAAUCUUACAUCCUACUAAUGCAAGAGCUAAUACUUUUACGCU